rnacentral:lncRNA from 1 species
ACACCUUCUCUGGCAAAAGAAAAGUGGGUGUCCGAGAGCGCUAUUUUGGGAUAAAGGUUCAGGAAUAAUGAACCUUUUAGUAAGACGUGAGCUAUUCAGAAAUGUGGUCGUUUCUGUGAAGAAGCCCUGGGUGAGACUCAAGCAUCAUUGCUUAUUCCCUUCUUCCUGUCCAUCCUCCUUGGGUCUGUGGAGUGUAGCAUGGGCAUCCUGCAUUUUAUGGAGCCAAGAGCAGAAUAGAGCCAAGGAAAGAAAGGAUAAAUGAAAACAGGCAACUUGAAAAUGCAGAGAAGUUAAGAAGAAGUAACAAGGAGAGUGUGGGAUCUGCUGGGUACCAUGAAAAAAGAAGAUAUUCAGCUUGCUGGGGCUUGGUGCUGGAACCUGUGAGUAUCAGAGGGAAAGCUUAUCAGGGUUAUAAAAGAAAACUCCUCAAACAUAUCCCCCAAAUCAGAUAACUAGAUCAGAAGUCACAGUCAGACUCAACUCAAACACGUGGGCUGUAACUUAUAGUCAGUUCCCCCAAGCACACUACAGGAGUUAAAAGUGAAUUUUCUCAAAGGUUGAGGAUAAAACAGAAGACUACAAAGUCAGAACAAGUAAAGAAACAAAUAACAUGCAACGUGUGUGCCUCAUACCGUAUUUCUUAACAGAAAUGUUACAUGUCUGG